AUUCGUCUCCUGAGCUGAUAUAGUUCCUUCCGUAAUUGACGAAAUAUGGUGUGAACUCUGUUGACUCAUGCACUGCUGUCCUGAUAGCCAUUGCAAUUUUCUGUAGGUUCUCAUCCCAUUCUUUUUGUUCUUCUUUUAGGUACGUUCUGAUCGCUGCGCCAAUAACCCGAUUCACCCGUUCGGUCGGAUUAUUUGCUGGAUGAUAAUUGGCGUUUUUCCAGUGAUUCACCUUGUACUUUUUCAACAAAUUAGCAAACAGGUUAGAUUUGAACUGUGGGCCGUUAUCCGAAAUUAGUAUCUCCGGAACGCCAAACAACAGGAAGAUCAUUGACUCCACGAACAUUACCAGUUGUGCUGUCUUUGCUUCCCUCAUUGGUUGUAUGAUCACAAACUUUGAGAAGUGAUCGGUGACGGCUAGCAGCAUCGUGUUGCCCUUUUUCGACCGUGGAAAUGGACCCAUAUAGUCGAUGGACACAACUUGCCAAGGCAUCGACGCUAUUUUCGGACGCCCAAUUUGAGGUACUCGUGCGGUGUUUGGAUGUUUCACCAUUUUGCACGUCUGGCAUCCUCGACAGAAUCGUUUGAUUUCCUCACACAUACCCGGCCAAUAGUACUUUUCCCGGACUUUCCUACUCGUUUUGUAGUACCCAAAGUGGGCUACACUAUGUUCGGCUUCGAGGAUCUGAAUACGAUCAGCUUUCGGCGGCAUAUACUUCCACUCAAAACGAGGAUCUUCUGGAUUGCCGCUCGGGAUAUACUUGUAUACGUUUCCUCGAAUGACUUUGAAGUCUUUGUACUUGUCACUAUCCUUUUCAAUGUCCGACUUCAGUUUUUCCAAGUCCAAGUCCACCAAUUAUAUUAUGCUGCUGCAGUUUAAGGGCCCAACGAACAAGCCGUGCGGAGCUGACCUCAACGCUUACUUUAUUCAACCAUUUCAAGGAUUGCGCGUCCGUUAUCACCUUAAACUGAGUUCCCUCUACGUAAUGACGGAAUUUUUCAAUGGCCAAUAUUACAGCCAGGCAUUCUCGCUCCGUUGCGGAAUACUUCCUCUGAGCUGAUGAAAAUUUUUUUGAAAAAAAUGCUAUUGGGCGCCUAUAUCCAUUCAGAUGCUGUACCAGAACUGCUCCCGCUGCCACUAAGGAAGCGUCAGAUUCUAUAACGAAUUCCUGGUUAAAAUCUGGAUUCGCCAGGACUGGUGGAGACAUGAUCGUGGUACAUGCGGAGGCGGAGGAAAUUCUAAAGCUGGAUCCCUGAUGUUCUGUAUCGAUGCUCUCCCAGAAGGUAGCCUGCCCAUUCCGGAAUUUUGAUGCUCUGGUGUGGCGAACAGCUCGUAUAUAGUUUCUA